AGAGUUUGAUCCUGGCUCAGAUUGAACGCUGGCGGCAUGCCUUACACAUGGAAGUCGAACGGUAACAGGUCUUCGGAUGCUGACGAGUGGCGAACGGGUGAGUAAUACAUCGGAACGUGCCCGAUCGUGGGGGAUAACGCAGCGAAAGCUGUGCUAAUACCGCAUACGAUCUACGGAUGAAAGCGGGGGAUCGCAAGACCUCGCGCGGACGGAGCGGCCGAUGGCAGAUUAGGUAGUUGGUGGGAUAAAAGCUUACCAAGCCGACGAUCUAUAGCUGGUCUGAGAGGACGACCAGCCAGACUGGGACUGAGACACGGCCUAGACUCCUACGGGAGGCAGCAGUGGGGAAUUUUUGGACAAUGGGCGAAAGCCUGAUCCAGCAAUGCCGCGUGCAGGAUGAAGGCCUUGGGGUUGUAAACUGCUUUUGUACGGAACGAAACG
rnacentral:rRNA from 1 species